CUGGCCAUGAGAUUACAUGUCCUAGCAUGCUCAGCCAGGCGCGCGCAGCUCUGCCCCUUCCUCCAGUGAUGCGCACAGUCCCUGAUCCCUGUGCACGCUGGGAUUGUAGUCCUGCAGCCCUGCGAUCACUUGCAGGUAACAAGAAAUUUCAGCUUCCGGCAUGAUGGGCGAAGGCCCCCACCUUCAGCCUCGCUCCUCCAUGCCUUCAGAGCUGUUCCGCCAUGCAGACGGGGAGCCUGCCUGUUCUUUAACCUCUCCUACCUGAUGGGAGAGGACAAGCUACCAGGACAGCUUGUCUCACCAAGAAAUUGUGAUACCGCAUCCCCCAACGUGCUGGCUUCCUGACUUCCAAAGUUGCGGCAAGGUAAGAAGAACUACAGAGGAAGAACCUAAUGCAGACGUUUCCCAGGAGACUUUAACUGAAGUAUCAGCAAACUGAAAGCUAGGACGCUUCAGACAUACCAGUGGGCCUAACCUUUUUCACAAGGAGCUCUGGCCUGGCCAACAAGAAUCACCUUUGGUGCUUCAGUGCAGUGUCACCAUCACCUGUUUGAAAUGCAGCCAGAUGGAGUCUCAUUCUGUCACCCAAGCUGGAGUGCAGUGGCGCGGUCUUGGCUAACAGCAACCUCCGCCUCCCAGGUUCAAGCAAUUCUCCUGCCUCAGCCUCUCGAGUAGCUGGUAUUACAGGCACGCACCACCACGCCCAGAGUUUCACUCUUGUUGCCCAGGCUGGAGUGCAAUGGCUCGAUCUUGGCUCACCACAAGCUCCAACUCCAGGAUUCAAGCGGUUCUCCUGUCUCAGC
rnacentral:lncRNA from 1 species